UCUGAAUAAACCAUUAACCUGCAAACAGUGCACAGUUGAAGUCUUCUCCCUCGUCCUGCAAAGAAGAAAGUGUGAAUCCGAUAAACAAGUAACUUCCUGAACCCUAAGAAAGCGUGAUUGUCGGUUGCGUUGAUUAUUUAGGAAUAUUACAAACCAGAAGAUGAGGAAGACGAUGGUGUGAAAAGCUGGGUCUUAAGCUUAGGCUGCUGGGUUUUCAUGAUCAGGCAGUUGGUUCUUUCCCAAAGAAGAGGAAAAUCAGACACUUUAAGGAAACUCUAUAAGCUGAGAUUAAGAUGCUCAGGAAGAAGCUGACCUUUAAAGCAACUCCAAUUCCUAAUGCUGAUCCUAUUUCUAAUAUCUCUAGGUAGUUGUUCAAGUCGAUAGCACCUGUUGAGUUUAAGGGUCUGUAGAUUCUGCAGUUUGCUGAUAGAAGCAGGGAGUGCUAUCACACUAACAUUAGCAGAGAGGUCAAGGUACAUAAGAUGGGUCAACUUGCCUAGGCUCAUCAAUUCUUAGGUUAUGUAGAUCUAACACACGCAAGCACCUCAAGUUUGAAAUGAUUGUAUUGUGACGAUGCUUGAUCCUGAAGUGGUAAUGCUGAUUUCAAUUUCACAUUGGUUAACUUUUUGUCAAAUCAAUUUUAUGGACCAUUUGAUUGUUCUUUUUCUUCAAGCAGUGAAC
rnacentral:lncRNA from 1 species